AUGGCAGCCCAUCAGGGUCCACCAUUCCUGGGAUUCUCCAGGCAAGAGUACUGGAGUGGGGUGCCAUGGGGGCUGGGAGUUUGCAUUUUGGGGAAACCCAAGGACCACACUUUGAGAGUCAUUACACAGUAUCUGGUAGAUGUGCAAUCACAGGGGAGCUAUGUCCCUGUUCCUGCCGGUUCCAGAAUAUACCAGGCACGGUGCUCAACCAGGACUACCAAAGACAGGCCCAUAGGCAAUCCAUUGGAGAGGGGGAAGAAGAGUAAGUGCUGUUAUUAUUUCUUCAUGUCUAUUUUAGCACACAGUUUGUGUAGUUUAUAUACAUAUAUAUCUUUUUUUUUUUUUUUUUUGGCCACACUAUAUGAAUCUUCCCAGACCAGGGAUCGAACCUGUGUCCCCUGCACUAGCAGGCAGAUUCUUUACCACCGGAUCACCAGGGAAGUCCCAAACUACAUUCUGAGUUCUUUUCAGUCUCAAACUCUCACCAUUAGGUUAUUGAUUACAUUAUACAGUUGGUCCAUGGACCAGCAGCACUAGCAUCAUCUGGACGCUUGAUGCAUGCAUGCUCAGUUGCUCAGUCAUAUCUGACUCUUUGCAACCCUAUGGGCUGUAACCCACCAGGCUCCUCUGUCCAUGGAAUUUUCCAUGCAAGAAUACUGGAGUGGGUUGCCAUUUUCUCCUCCAGGGGAUCUUCCCCACCCAGGAAUCAAGAACCCACAUCUCUUAAGCUUCCUGCAUUGGCAGGCAGAUUCUUUACCCCUGCACCACCAGGGAAACCUGGACGCUUGAUAGGAAUGCAGAAUUCUCAGGCCUGCCCCAGAUCUACUGAAUCAGAAUCUGCAUUUUAACAAGAUUCCCAGGGACAAUCUGUAGGCACAUAACAGUCUGAAAUGAGCUGGUCCAGAACACUCUCAAAGUCCCUUCUGGAAUUACCAUUUGAGGAAAUAAAGUAGCAAUCUGUGGGUCUGGGUGCUUUAUAUACUGUGCUGUGUUAUGUGUUAUAAAUGUGCUGUGUUAUGCUGUGCUUAGUUGCUCAGUCGAGUCCGACUCUUUGCAACCCCAUGGACUGUAGCCCACCAGGCUCCUCUGUCCGUGGGGAUUCUCCAGGCAAGAAUACUGGAGUGGGUUGCCAUUCCCUCCUCCAGGGGAUCUUCCCAACCCAGGGACUGAACCGAGGUUUCCCGAAUUGCAGGCAGAUUCUUUACCAUCUAGCCACCAGGGAAGCCCAGGAAUGCUGAAGUAUAUGCAAGAAGGAAAUAUUCAAAUAUUCAAGCAUCUCAUUCAAGGUCAAUGGUGAAAUCCCUAGUCUUGAAAAGGUUUUUUAAAAACAAAUUCACUUUGGCAUUCCCCACACUGGGGGUGGGAGUUGGAAUGGAUGAAACUCUUUGAGAAUAUUUUCAGUUCUGGGAUUUCAGAGUCUGGGAAAAACUCCAAAGUUUGAAAUAUGACUGGGGACUUGUUAGUCAUUUAGUUAUGUCUGACUCUUUGUGACCCCGUGGACUGUAGCCCACCAGGCUCCUCAGGCAAGAAUACUGGAGUGGGUAGCCAGUCCCUUCUCCAGGGGAUCUUCCCAAACCAGGGAUCAAACCUGGGUCUCCUACAUUGCAGGCAGAUUCUUUAUCAUUUGAGCCACCUGGGAAGCCAAACUUUGGGAAAUAUAGGGCUUUCCCAGGGGUUAAAUGAUGGCUUUGCAACUCUGGGGUCUGGGCUGGCAGAAUAGUGAGGUGGGAGAGUAGAAAGGUAGAGGGGCACUCACCAUUUAGGUCAUCUCUAGGAAUGAGCUCAGGUCCAAUGAAAAGGCUGCACAGCUCCUUCACCAAGCUGGGGUAGGAGAGCGUGCUCCACUCAUGCAGGGUCUCUCUGCCCAACUGUGGAAGCUCCUCAGGCAUGUAGAGGCCCCCGUCUGGAGCAUAGCCAGAGAAGAGCGCCCCCUCGAAGUCAAUUCGUGGGGCCAUCCCCCGAGUGCUGACAUACCACAUGAUCCCGGGGCCUGCAGAGGGACCAGCCCCAGAGGCACUUAGUCUCCAAGCUCAUUACCCCUCGGGGCAAAGCCCAAGUACGCCCAGCUCCCUCAGCUAACCCUUGGGCCAUCACUCAUGCAUGUGUGCUAAGUCACUUCAGUCGUGUCCAACUCUUUUGCGACCCUAUGGACUAUAGCCUGCCAGACUUCUCUAUUCAUGGCAUUCUCCAGGCAAGUAUAUUGGAGUGGGUUGCCAUGCCAUCCUCCAAGGGAUCUUCCCAACCCAAGGAUGAAACUUCGAGUCUCUUAUGAAUCCUACAUUGGCAGGCGUUCUUUACCCCUGGCGCUACCUAGAAAACUGAGAGUCAAAAUUGUUGAGGGCAGGAGAAGGGGGUAGCAGAUGAUGAGCUGGUUGGAUGGCAUCACAGGUGCAAUGGACAUGAGUUUGAGCAAACUCUAGGAGA
ensembl:lincRNA